rnacentral:rRNA from 1 species
UUCGCAAUGCCCGAAAGGGUGACGAAGCGACGCCGCGUGUGGGAAGAAGGCCUUCGGGUUGUAAACCACUGUCGGGAGUUAAGAAAUACAAGGAUAUGAAUAGUGUCUUUGUUUGACUAAGGCUCCGGAGGAAGCCACGGCUAACUCUGUGCCAGCAGCCGCGGUAAUACAGAGGCGGCAAGCGUUGUUCGGAAUUAUUGGGCGUAAAGAGCACGUAGGCGGCUAUGUAAGUCGGUUGUGAAGGCCUUCCGCUCAACGGAAGAACAGCAUCCGAUACUACAUGGCUUGAGUGCGGGAGGGGAGAGUGGAACUUCUGGUGGAGCGGUGAAAUGCGUAGAUAUCAGAAGGAACGCCGGCGGCGAAAGCGGCUCUCUGGCCCAUAACUGACGCUGAGUGUGCGAAAGCUAGGGGAGCAAACGGGAUUAGAUACCCCGGUAGUCCUAGCCGUAAACGAUGGGCACUAAGUAGAGGGGUUUU